GAACCCAAUCACUUAAACCAUUUUUCAUUCAUAAGUCAUUAUUCUUGAAGCGAUGUUUUUCUUGUCAUUUCUCACUGUAUUUUCGCUGCUGUCGUAUUGUGUCUAUUGUUUAAACAAACACCUGUAGGCAAUAAAGUUACAGCUGGUAUUACGAUGUAAAUUUUACUGUAUAGUUCGGUCCGACACAAUUUGUUGUAUUUAGGGCCUAAAAUUUUGCUAAUGACUGUCAGCAAAAUUGAAUUUACUGUUGGUAAAGUUGAUAGUCAAAACUUAAAAUACGUUUUAUAUUGUAACAAUAUAAUUUUUCGUCAUUGAGCACUUGAAGUCAUUAACCUGCUUUGCCGUGUUUGCCCACAUUAGAUGCAUUAUUUGUGGUUCGUUGCUUCAUAGCUAUAAACAGAGGUAAUUCUCUAAAAUGUCGAAAACUCUAUGUUCUAUAACAUUGCUUUGUCAACCAACAACAACAUCCAAAUUUCCAAACAUUUAUAAUAUUAUUGUUGAUUUGUAAAGGAUAGGAUUUGACGGAAAACAAGUUCUAUUAAAUGUUGAAUAACUGGGGCAGAUGGCAUAAGUGUUUGUAUAUACUCAAUAAAGCACUGUACAUUUGAGGAAGCCGACAGCCUUGGCCAGCAGUUGCAAGUAAAACGUUGCGAAAGCCACAACUCUGUUGUUCGUCUGACUUGUAUGUAUCUUAAUUUUUCUCUGUUUGUUUAAGGUGUAUAUCUGCAGUCGCCUUAUUGUGUCCGUUUUUCAAUUAAUAAAAAAACAAAGAGCUUUACUGUAUAUCCUUGGAUCUAUGCAAUGAUGAGUUUAAUGAUAUGGUGGUUAUUGUGGCUGUUAUUUGGUCAAGGAUUCACAAUGAAAAUGGGUUGGAAUGAAGAACUUGAGUUUUGUGAGGAAGAAUGGAAGAAAUUUGUGGCGGACAAAAUUGAAAUCGAUUCGAAAUG